ensembl:miRNA mdo-mir-7277 mdo-mir-7277
UCCUGGUCCUCUCGCUGCCCCCUGCCUGAGCACGUCUGCUGGCGGGGCAGAGAUGACCAGGGGA